UUUUAAACAAGUAAAUUUUAAU
rnacentral:snRNA from 1 species